UACGUAGGUGACCAGCGUUGUCCGGAUUUACUGGGCGUAAAGAGCGCGCAGGCGGUCGUUCAAGUCGAGUGUGAAAGCCCCCGGCUCAACUGGGGAGGGUCAUUCGAUACUGAUCGACUCGAAGGCAGGAGAGGGAAGUGGAAUUCCCGGUGUAGUGGUGAAAUGCGUAGAUAUCGGGAGGAACACCAGUGGCGAAGGCGACUACCUGGCCUGUUCUUGACGCUGAGGCGCGAAAGCUAGGGGAGCAAACGGG
rnacentral:rRNA from 1 species